GCUGGGUGCAGUGGUGCACACCUGUAGUCCCAGCCGCUCAGGAGGCUGAGGCAGGAGAAUCACAAGUUCAAAGGCAGCCUCAGCAAAAUCAAACUGCUAAGCAACUCAGUGAGACCCUGUCUCUG
rnacentral:sRNA from 1 species